rnacentral:tRNA from 1 species
UGUAGGAUGGUGAAAUUGGCAGACACACCUCCUUGUCCCGGUGGCGGAGAGCAUGGGAAACCCGUAAGGGCUAACCACUCCUUGAAGGUUCGACUCCUUCUCCUACAG